rnacentral:lncRNA from 1 species
AAAAAGAAUACCUAAGUCGACCCCAGUGAGUCCAGUGGUGGAGAUAAGACUAAAAUCCAAGUCUGUUCCCGUUUAAAGCUCACAUUCUUAACCCCUGUGGAUAUGCUGCCUGGCAAGAAUUAUGUCUAUAAAGAGAACUAUGCCAUUUAAAAAUCAAUAUGUCCUUGGCAAUAUUUAGUGCACACCAUUAAUGUUAUAACUGAGUUCCAGGGGUAUCACACCAUUUUAUUUUAUUUUAUUGAAAGAUUUUAUUUAUUUACUUGCCAGAGAGAGAACAAGCAGGGGGAGUGGCAGAGAGAGAAGCAGGCUUUCCACUAAGCAGGGAGCCCAAUGUGUGACUUGAUCCCAGGACCCAGGGAUCAUGGCCUGAGCCAAAGGCAGAUGCCUGACAACUGAGCCAGCUAGGUGCUCCUAUUGCCCCAUUUUAAAGAAUCUAAAAGAACAUGGAUCCAUGAAAAUAGAUACUGGAAACAGAACAGUUUUACUCAAUGGUAUCUAUCUUGAUUCCCUACUCCCGUUUUAAGAUACCUGAGGCACUUUAAGCAGAGAAGGGUCAGCAAUAUUUGCCAAUUUUUAGUGGGGAUGUGUGAUCUGCUUCUUCAAAAGACAUCUGUGUAUUGGGUUUCAGGGCAAGGUGCUAUUUUCAGAAUCCAGGUAGAAUCUAACACAGUAAAACAAUGCCAAGGGAAAAGGAAGGAAAACAAAAAACUAAAGGAACACCCCUGCCCAUUGUUCCAAUUCUUCGGAAGUUCCUGAAAACGUAUGAAAAGCACUGUGUCCAGACGCAGACAGCUGUGUGUCCAGCCAUCAGACAGGACUUGAAAACCAGCAUCAACAACGAACAGAUUCUUAGGAAAUUUAUGCUUGUAAGACCUGGAGACUCCCCAACAAGCAUCUUACCCAUUUCCUUAGAACCUUUGCUCAUGACAAUUCGCGAUGAGUGUUAUAUGCUGGGGAAAGAGAUCUGUAUCUGGAGCCUUCAACUGAGCAACCCAGAGAUUGCCAGACUGGCUUCACUUCUGGAGUUGAAGGGGAGUGCCGCCUGCCCCUUUACCAGCCUGGAGCUCACUGAUUGCAGGAUGGAUCUGUGGUCUCUCCAGAGACUCGGGAGGGCUCUGCCACGCAGCCAUCUGCGUUCUCUCAUCCUCGAUUACAGCAGGUGAGGCU